rnacentral:rRNA from 1 species
GUUAGUCAUUCACCUACAGAGGGGAAUAGCAGGUUGUGUGUCUCUGUUAGAGACUAUUACUGUUACAUGCUGCAGACACGGCCUGCGAUCUUCAAUCCCAUACUAUGUGGAGCACGUCUACUGUAGCAAUGGGCAGUCGACAUGUAUGUCAAGAUUGAGAGUUGUCGGUUGUGGUGUUUCAGGAAGAACUAGACGCAGAUUCGGGCCGACUUGUAUAAAGGAGUUGUUGAUGCCAUCACAUCGGGGGAGACGCGAGCAAGCGCUGUUGGGACAAGGAUAGUG